rnacentral:rRNA from 1 species
CNNUUAACGGCGAGUGAAGCGGCAGCAGCUCAAAUUUGAAAUCUGGCCCCUCCCCCGGGGGGGACCCGAGUUGUAAUUUGCAGAGGAUGCUUCUGGCGAGGUGCCUUCCGAGUUCCCUGGAACGGGACGCCGCAGAGGGUGAGAGCCCCGUCUGGUCGGCCACCGAGCCUCUGUGAAGCUCCCUCGACGAGUCGAGUAGUUUGGGAAUGCUGCUCUAAACGGGAGGUAUAUGUCUUCUAAAGCUAAAUACCGGCCAGAGACCGAUAGCGCACAAGUAGAGUGAUCGAAAGAUGAAAAGCACUUUGAAAAGAGGGUUAAACAGUACGUGAAAUUGUUGAAAGGGAAGCGCUCGCGACCAGACUUGGUGCCGGCGAAUCACCCGGCGUUCUCGCCGGUGCACUUCGCCGCGCUCUCCAGGCCAGCAUCGGUCCGCGCCGGGGGACAAAGGCGGCGGGGACGUGGCUCCCCAGGGAGUGUUAUAGCCCGCCGCGCAAUGCCCCGGGGGCGGACCGAGGCCCGCGCGGCUCUGCCGCAAGGAUGCUGGCGUAAUGGUCGCCAGCGGCCCGUCUUGAAACACGGACCAAGGAGUCGUCCUCGUAUGCGAGUGUUGGGGCGUGAAACCCCCCGCGCGUAAUGAAAGUGAACGGCAGGUGAGAGCCCCCUCGCGGGGCGCAUCAUCGACCGAUCCCGAUGUCCUCGGACGGAUUUGAGUAGGAGCAUACGGGGCCGGACCCGAAAGAAGGUGAACUAUGCCUGUGUAGGGUGAAGCCAGAGGAAACUCUGGUGGAGGCUCGCAGCGGUUCUGACGUGCAAAUCGAUCGUCAAACAUGGGCAUG